AUUGAACGCUGGCGGCAGGCCUAACACAUGCAAGUCGAACGAGUGGCGGACGGGUGAGUAAUGUCUGGGAAACUGCCUGAUGGAGGGGGAUAACUACUGGAAACGGUAGAUAAUACCGCAUACCAUCGGAUGUGCCCAGAUGGGAUUAGCUAGUAGGUGGGGUAAAGGCUCACCUAGGCGACGCUCCCUAGCUGGUCUGAGAUGAUGACCGGCCAGGCUGGAACUGAGACACGGUCCAGACUCCUACGGUAGGCAGGAGUGGGGAAUAUUGCACAAUGGGCGCAAGCCUGAUGCAGCCAUGCCGCGUGUAUGAAGAAGGCCUUCGGGUUGUAAAGUACUUUCAGCGGGGAGGCGUUACCCGCAGAAGAAGCACCGGCUAACUCCGUGCCAGCAGCCGCGGUAAUAC
rnacentral:rRNA from 1 species